GGCUCGGUGGUACACCGGUUAGUGUAUCUGCCAUUCGUAAUGGUAGAAUAAAUUUCUGCAGAAGACGCCUGUUCGACUCGGGCCCGGGCCA